GAUUAUGGCUCAGGAUGAACGCUAGCUACAGGCUUAACACAUGCAAGUCGAGGGGCAGCAGAUCGAAAGCUUGCUUUGAUGCUGGCGACCGGCGCACGGGUGAGUAACGCGUAUCCAACCUUCCCUAUAGUAGAGAAUAGCCCGGCGAAAGUCGGAUUAACGCUCUAUGUUGUAUUUAGAAGACAUCUGAAGAAUACCAAAGGUUUACCGCUAUAGGAUGGGGAUGCGUCUGAUUAGGUAGUAGGCGGGGUAACGGCCCACCUAGCCGACGAUCAGUAGGGGUUCUGAGAGGAAGGUCCCCCACAUUGGAACUGAGACACGGUCCAAACUCCUACGGGAGGCAGCAGUGAGGAAUAUUGGUCAAUGGACGGAAGUCUGAACCAGCCAAGUAGCGUGCAGGAUGACGGCCCUAUGGGUUGUAAACUGCUUUUAUAUAGGGAUAAAGUCGGGGACGUGUCCCCGUUUGUAGGUACUAUAUGAAUAAGGACCGGCUAAUUCCGUGCCAGCAGCUGC
rnacentral:rRNA from 1 species